AUAUUUUUUUUCGCGAAUAAAAGAAAAUUCCAAAAAAAACUGAAUUUUUUUCAUUAAAAUACAAAAAAUAAUUUUUUCCUAAAAAAUAUAAAUCUUUUUAAAAAGUAAGUGAUUUUUUUCAAAAGUAAAAAAAUUGAAAAUUUUCAAAUAUACAAAAAUUAAUAUAUUUAAAAAAACUAUUUUUUCAAAAAUAAAUGGAUGAAUGGAUAUCCAUUUGCUAAAAAUAUGAUAAUGGAUGGAUUAGAUGAAUUUUAUUUUUAAGGGAUGGAUUGGAUUGGAUAUUUUUAAGAAAGUUUUAGUGGAUUGUUAAUGGACUAAUGGAUUGUUUUGAUCCAUCCAUUAACGAUCCAAUCCAUAUCCAUCCAAUUCAUCCAUUUUACCAUCCCUAAUUUAUAGUGAGCAGAGAGAGAAUCUGAAGAUUCAAAAAGUGGUGAAUGUAUACAAAAAAUCCAAGCUACUCUGCAAUUGAUGAAGACUCCAAUUUAUAGAGCUUCCUUGAGCAUGGAAGGUCAAAUGGCUCCGAUGGAUGACAAUGGUCACUUAUCAUUAUACCUACAGCAUCUACCACGUAUGAGUUCCUAAGACUGCUUUGGAUCAUCACUCACAAGUAAGGCUGCACCAUGAGUGAUCCACCGUCAAUCAUUCUUUGUUGAGCUUUGAGGUUGGCCAUGAUGAUUCGGAGUUGUUGUCCCUAGAGCACCAUACGGAUUCUGCUCCUAACUUGGACGCCAAAGCAGUUGUAGAAUCCGUUUUUGUUGUUGGAUAUGCGUCCUAUUUCUGAGUUGGCAGCAUCUAAUGUCUUCAUUCUUGCCCCAAAAUUUCUUGGAAAAAAAGUAGCAUUUUUGCCCAUACAAUGCAGUGAACAAAUCUUGAUGGGGUACUAGUGAUAUAUGUAAUGGUGUAAUGUAUGAACAUAUUUUAAUAAAAUGCUUCUUUUCCUUUA